CACGUAGUUAGCCGUGGCUUUCUGAUUAGGUACCGUCAAGACGUGCACAGUUACUUACACAUUUGUUCUUCCCUAAUAACAGAGUUUUACGAUCCGAAGACCUUCAUCACUCACGCGGCGUUGCUCCGUCAGGCUUUCGCCCAUUGCGGAAGAUUCCCUACUGCUGCCUCCGUAGGAUCGUCGGACCGUGUCUCUAGUUCCAGUGUGGCCAUCCACCCUCUCGAGGUCGGACUACGUACUCGUUCGCC
rnacentral:rRNA from 1 species